GUGCUCGCUUUGUCAGCACAUGUACUAAAAUUGGAAAGAUACAGAGAAGAUAAGCAUGGCCCCUGUGCAAGGAUGACAUGCAAAUUCAUGAAAUGUUUCAUAGUAAA